UCCUCGUUGUUCGAUCAUCGUCGAGCCCCCCUCUCUUCCUCAUUCUCUUUAAAUACGGUGAGCUUUGAGCACCCACUAUGAACCUUCCAAUCGCUGCGAGGAGCUGCGGUGGUGGCGGCAUCAGGAUCGCCGCGGUGGUGGAGCUCAGUGGUGGAGAUUAGGUUCGAGUAGCUGCAUCUCAUUGAUGGAGAGGCCAAAGGCUUGGUGACGGUUAGGGUAGGGUUAGGGUUUUGUAGAAGACCCUAACCCUGGAGCUGAUGUGUAGAAGGGACAAAGCUUAAUGGCGCUCAACUGCGGAAUCAUGUCCGGUUUCAAGCUCCUCUCCUUGUCUGAAGCUGCCAUUUGCAAAUCAGUACUAGUACUUUGGAAUGCAUGGAAAGCCAUUAGGUGAGAUGACUGUAAGACAUGAAGCCAUUAGGUGUGCAACCUCCGAAGUACUAGUACUUUGGAAUGCAUGGAAAGCCAUUAGGUGUGCAACUUCCGAAGUACUAGUACUUUGGCCUUAGUGAUUUGCAGUCCAAGAAAUUUGAGCAAUUGGAAUCGGAGAAACAUGAAGCCAUCGGAGGUAAUGAGCAUAUGACUGGUCUUGCAGCUCUGGAGAUAGUUCUCAAGGUUGCCCUAAAAUUUGACCAUAGGAGCUGCAAAGGCUGUAAUUAUGGUCCUCUGUAUUAGUGGCAAGUUUACAUUGCUCUUGGGGGUAGUCAUGGAGUGCCUAGGGUGCAUUAUAAAUGACGACAGGGUCAUGGAAAUGCUAGCUCCCAGUUUGCGGGAUGCAUGGAAUUCAUCAGAUCAAGCGAUACCUGCUGAUAUGGUAUCUUGCAUUGCUGUUGAAUCCAUUUCAAACCUUGAAAAGAUGCAUUCGAAGGGUUAAACAUGAACAUGGGGAUUAGUACUAAAGUUGCUGUUGAAUCAGUUUCAGUUAAGAACCUUAAGCCAUGUGAAGAUAGUGAGUGCAAAGAGUCCAUCCAUUUGAAACCAAACGCAGCAGAUGUAAUUACUGAAGACAUGGCAGUGAAUAAAUAAUCUGGGUACAAAUGGUUUUAUCUCUAGAAAGAACAGCAGAAAUUCAGAGACAAAUGGUGAAGCAUUCCAUACCAAAUUGGCUUCAACAAUGAAUUGUAAGAACUAUGAGAAGCAAAAUUAUGCAAAUGGUAGACAAACAAUGAUUGACAAAUGCUAGACAAACAACAAUAUUUGUGUGUUUGUUUACAAUAUGUAUAUAGAUUAUAAAAAAAUAUUGUUCUUUAAUUAA